GAUCCUGGCUCAGGAUGAACGCUAGCUACAGGCUUAACACAUGCAAGUCGAGGGGCAGCAUGUUGGUUGCUUGCAACCGAUGAUGGCGACCGGCGCACGGGUGAGUAACGCGUAUCCAACCUACCCCUUGUCCAUCGGAUAACCCGUCGAAAGGCGGCCUAACACGAUAUGCGGUUCACAGCAGGCAUCUAACGUGAACGAAAUGUAAGAGGAAGAG
rnacentral:rRNA from 1 species